rnacentral:rRNA from 1 species
GUAGGUGGCAAGCGUUGUCCGGAUUUAUUGGGUUUAAAGGGUGYGUAGGCGGCCCUGUAAGUCAGUGGUGAAAUACGGCAGCUCAACUGUCGAGGUGCCAUUGAUACUGCAGGGCUUGAGUACAGACGAGGUGGCGGAAUUGACGGUGUAGCGGUGAAAUGCUUAGAUAUCGUCAAGAACACCGAUAGCGAAGGCAGCUUACUAGACUGUAACUGACGCUGAGGCACGAAAGUGUGGGGAUCAAACAGGAUUAGAUACCCUGGUAGUCCACACUGUAAACGAUGAUUACUCGAUGUUGGCGAUACACAGCCAGCGUCUUAGCGAAAGCGAUAAGUAAUCCACCUGGGGAGUACGCCGGCAACGGUG